rnacentral:rRNA from 1 species
UACGUAGGGUGCGAGCGUUAAUCGGAAUUACUGGGCGUAAAGGGCAUGCAGGCGGUCGGACGCGUUUCGGGUGACAGCGGGUGGCUUAACUACCCGAGUGGUCGAAAGACGGUUUGACUUGAGGACGCGAGAGGGACACGGAAUUCCGGGUGGAGUGGUGAAAUGCGUAGAGAUCCGGAGGAACACCGAAGGCGAAGGCAGUGUCCUGGCGCGUAACUGACGCUGAGGUGCGAAAGCCAGGGGAGCGAACGGG